UGGUGGGUGGAUUAUCUCUGCCUCGCCUUUCUAUGACACUUUCAAAUAAAUCAACAAAUCCUCCAGUGACAUGCAGGCUUGGGCCAUAACACACAGUGCCCAAGCAGCACACAGGGCCAGAUUCUUACAAGGGGCAGAUGAGCCUGGAGACCCUGGGUGGGGCUGACACCUUCUGUUCCCAGGGGAGCUGGAAGGAUGGCCACCCUCAGGUCCUAAUGCUGACCACGGACAGCACUCUUGACACUGUUCUAUCCAGCAUCUCUCAUUACAACUUAACAAUCUUCUUGUCAACACAUUGCCUGAAAUAAACUGUCACGAGGCACAGGGACCAUGCAGAUGUGACCAGGAGAAGGAACUCAAGGCACUUCUGUGCCAGUGAAAUUCAAGGUAUGCAGAGGAACCUGAUUUUGAAUUCUAACUUCAAGAACUGUAAGACAACUAAUGUGUGUUUGUGGUGUCCACCUUGCUCUCAGUGGGGAAGGAGACAAGAGAGGUGCUGUGGCUUGAACUGUGUUCCCACCCACAUGUGGAAGCUCUCCCACUCCCCACUCCCCACUCCCACCUUCCAAACAUGUCCAUCUUCAAUGAAUGAGGUCACAGGCCAGGACUGCAGCUGGCUAGGGCUGGCGGCCUGCUCAGAAAGGCAGAUGUCAGAAACCUCCAGCUCUCGCCCUGCCACACGAGCACCUGCUGAGAGGUAGUGCUCACAAGCCGCAGAAAGGAAGAGACAAACUCCCCUCUGUGGAUUCACUCUCCUGCUCAAGAUGACGAGGGCUGAGCUGGGGG